rnacentral:sRNA from 1 species
CUGGAUCCCACCACAGAGCACAUCUAUGGGGAGAACUUUUUCUCCCGUGUGGAUGGCGUGGCUGCCGCCCUGGACAGUUUCCAGGCCCGUGAGUGCUUGACUUCGGAGGCCAGUCCCUUGCCCGCAGCUGUGCCAGUCCCACUUCUGACCCACUGCUCCCUUGCCAGGGCACUAUGUGGCUGCUCGUUGCACCCACUAUCUGAAGCCACUGCUGGAGGCAGGCACAUCGGGCACCUGGGGCAGUUGUUCAGUAUUCAUGCCACAUGUGACUGAGGCCUACAGAGCCCCUGUCUCAGCUGCAGCUUCUGAGGAUGCCCCCUACCCUAUCUGUACCGUGCGGUACUUCCCUAGCACAGCCGAGCACACCCUGCAGUGGGCCCGGCAUGAGUUUGAGGGACUCUUCCGACGGUCUGCAGAGACCAUCAACCACCACCAACAGGCACACACUUCCCUGGCAGACAUGGAUGAGCCACAGACACUCACCUUACUGAAGCCGGUGCUUGGGGUCCUGAGAGUGCGUCCACAGAACUGGCAAGACUGUGUGGCGUGGGCUCUUGGCCACUGGAAACUCUGCUUCCAUUAUGGCAUC